rnacentral:lncRNA from 1 species
CAGAGAGUUCCAGAGAACCAAAUAGAAGCAGAAAACAAUGGGAAAAAAAAAUGCAAAAAGAAGUAGAGAAGAAUCGAGAAACAUGAGGAAAAAGAGAGAGAAAAGAGGGGAAGAGAAACAAUAACUAGAAUUGCAAAUAAACAGGUAAGGAGCAGCAACAUCGACGUGAAUAAGGUCGAAUUAUGCUUCUCGCUUGGGGUUGAUUCUUGACUGCAACAAGGUAACACCAAAUUGUAGUAGUUCAGGUUUAUGGAUUUUGUUUUCAUCAUUAUAGUUAUUGGUAGCAAUUAGACCUAAGAAGCAGGGCAAGCCCUAAGGAAGAAAGGAAAUGGGUUAAUUUGAUCAUGUGAACAAGAAUUUCAUCACAAAAUAAUUGGAAUUGUACGUGAUGGGCUGUGCAUAAUGAUGCCCAUAUAUAGCUAAAUACAGGUACUAAGGCAAGAGAUGGGUUAGUUCAACAAAGGUGAGUAGGGUUAUUAUGAAUAUAAGUCCACCAUUAAACAUUAGUAAAGGAGUGGAGAAACAACAGGAGAAUAUUUGGUUUAAACUUUGGAGACUUGUUAAGACAUUACUGAUGAAUUCUAUAUGAAAGAAAUUUAAUGGCUUAUUUUCAAUAAAGAAAUGAUAUGGGCAAGAUUAUGGUGAAUUAUAAUUUAAUUUUAUGGUGCUAGGUUGUUUUGCUUCAUUUUCAAAGUUAAACCAAUGCUUCAAAUUGUGAAGUAUUAUAUGGACAGAAAUUUAUAUACAUUGAAUAGAAACAGGAACGAGAAUGAGUUAAAGGAGUUUUGAUUAUGGAUUUGACCAAUUGUUAUUAAUUGGUACCUGCAACAAGAGAGAAAAGAAUGGGACUCUACUUUAAAUUCUUCUUUUACCUUCAAACAAAAAUAAUUAUUUUCAAUUAGAAAGUGACUGCAAUUGGAUAUUUCUUUGGUCCAUUGGCUAGGGGGUUGGAUUAAAUGGUUGCUAAUACGAAGAAAUGUUACAUUUUUUCAGGAAAUAUCGAGGUCAGGACACUUGAUGAUCGAAUUAGUCCUGUAAGUGGAAAAACCCUAAAUAUUUUCAAGUAUUGAUAAAUUAAUUAUACGAAUACAUUAUGUGCAUUUAUAUGUUCGAUUACAUGAUUAUUUUGGAAAUAUUCUUUGAUUCUGAUAUUUGUGGAAUUCAAAGAUUAGAUAUGAAAAUAUUUGUGAUUUGGAAUGUGAGACAUGUGAUAUUAAGAUCGAUCAGAAAAGUACUCGUGAUUAUAUAUUUCUUCUAGUUCACAGAUAAGUAAGUCCCUUAGCUAUGGGAUUAAACUAAUGAUGCAUGUAUACAAGUGAACAUUAAGGAUUUGUGAUUUUCUGAAUUAGGGGAUUUUGAUUUUGGGGGAAUAUGGUUACUUGGAAUUGGAGGUUUUUCUUUGGUAAAAGAAUAGAAUUUUGGGACUUUUUUGGUGGACUAAUAGAAGCUGUCAACAGAAUCAAUUUAUAUAUGGUUGUUUAUUGUUUUUCAUUUUUACUUUGUAAAAUGUAGUAAUAAUAGUAUAAAAAAAAUUGGAAUGUAUUUUAUGAAUUAUUAUUUUAAAAUGUGUAUUAAGUGUAAUUUAGUCUUUUCCUUCUCUCUACAUAAAUACACAAUUUUGAGUUUGUAUUACCAGUAAUCAGAUCUGUUGAUUAACAAUGAUCUGGUUUAUUUUUUCUUUCUGAUUUUUGUUGUUUUGAUUGUAUAGUUUUCAAUAUUUGAAGAAGAGAAAAAGAGAAUAAUAGAUGUUUGGUAUAGCAACAAAGAAGUGUAAUAAUAGCAAGUAUUAUGAGCUAUUGGAGUUUCAAAGAAUGCUUCAGAGGAUGAUCUCAAGAAGGCCUACUGUAAAUCUGCCAUCAAGAAGGAGGCGAGCCUCGAAAUGUAAUUUCUCUAAAUUUUAUUAGUGCAGUGUAUAUUUUAUUUGUGAAUUGGUCUUUUGAGGAUUUUGAUCUAUAAAAUCCUUUUUUUUUUUUUUUUAAAUCUGAAUUUAGCUUUAGUCAGCUGCUUUGUGAAGUAUGAUUUAAUGGUUAAAGUCAUCCAUGGAUCUGUACAAACAAUAAUUGUUGACUAGAAUGCCUGCAAGUUAUCAUAUAUUAUAGGAAAGUUUAUAGGUUCAAAUUUGCGGUUGGCUUAAUAUCUAUAGUAAUUAAAAAUGUGGAAAUUGUUUUUACGUUGAACUGAUAGAUUAUAUUGCAAGUUUAAAACUACUGUUGUAUUAUUUUCUAUGGACUUAUUGAGCUAUCCAUUUACAAACAGAGUGACACGUUAUCAAGAAACAAUUUUUCCAAACAUACUGCUAAAUAUGACUUUUGUUUUGUUUUAAUUAUGAAUAUAGUUGAUAUAUCAUUCUUGUCUUUUUCAUGUCGAAUAUAAUUCCAUGAAUCAUGAUCCAUAUGUAUACUGACAUAAAAUUAUUUUGGAGCAAUCUUAAUAAUUUUAUAUUCGAUCUUGGAUUUCUCACAAGACUUGUAGCUCGUCUGGUGCUCAAGCGGCAGAGUUGUCACACACCUAUCAAUAGUAUGUCGCUUCAGCGACGGGGUUAUUCGGUCUAGGUCCGUUUCGUGUUUUGAAGUGUUUCUGGAUUCAUAUUAAUCUAUAAGUUGAUUUCUAAGGUUUAUAUAUAUAGUUCUCUUAACAUUCAAUAACAUUUUGAGAGUAUAGAAUUCAAAAUAUUGAGAUAUUUUUACAUUGUAGACACAAUUAUUAUUGACUAUAGUGAAAUUCUCCUCUGUUUAUUAUUUUUUCCCAUCUUGGGUUUCUACUUAAAUCUUGGUACUCUUAUUUGUUCUUGUUUAUUUCAUUAUUGUCAUAGUCUUGCGAUCAAUUCAUAACAAGUUGUUAUUUCUCCCAUGAAUUCGUCGUUAUUUUCUUCAUUUUAGGUUUUGUGAACCACCCUGAGUAGUUCAACCAUGAAAUUACUAGCAUAUAUUUUAUUUGUAUUUGUUUUGGUUUUGGUUUUGAUUUUGGUUUUGGUUUUGGAGUUAAGCAAGUUUGUAAAUAAUACGUUGGUCUAUAUCUAUUGGGUCGAUAAUAAUAAGAUUUUUUAUCCAUUUUGAAAUUAUUUAUUUUUUUAUAAUUGCACAUUUAAGCUUUCUUGGAGUCAUUUUUAAUUAAGUAGGUUACAUUUUCAAAUUAUUGAAUUACAAUUCAAUUGAAAAGUAACAAAUUGAAAGUUAUAUGUUUAAAAUAGUAUCCACAACAUACAUAAAUAUAGAAAAAAUAAAUUACGCAAUAUUUGAAUAUCGUUGAAGUGACAAACUUUUUUAGCUGUAAAAUAAAUUUAAGUGCGAGUACAGAUAAAUAAAUAUUUAUUGUCAAAAAAUAAUUUGCGCAAUAAUUUUAUACGUGUAAAAUAAAAUGUGUAACAUAUAUGAAUAAUCACGAAAUAAAUUAGGCAACAAUUAUACAUUCUUGUACGAAUGGUGAGGCUAUAAACUCUUUGUGUUAUGAAACAAAUUUAAUUACAAACAUCACUUGUUCAUAAUAAAUUGUACUACAAAUUUUGAAUAUCUUAAAUUAUAAAAUGCAACAUAUCAAAUGCAUUGUAAAUCAUAUUUCAUGACAAACUUGUUAUUAGAGAUAUUAAUACGAGCAUGCAUGGUUGUAAAAUAGAAUAGGCAAUAAAAGUUAUACUUCUAAAAAUUAUUCGUAACAAAUCUCAAUUUUUGCGACAACUUUUUCUUGUUGCAAAAUUGAUUUUUUUUGUAGUGGUCUCUUAUAAAAAAGUAAAAAUCUUAAUUAGCACAACAAAUGUGAGAACAAUUUAAUGUUCUAAUUGAAGUUUUGAUAAAAUUCAAUCCACAAGAAACAUAUAAGAAUACAAAAUAAAUUGAAUCGUUCUCCCAGGAAUUCUACGUCCAAUUCUCGGUCACCUUUGAAGUGAUAUAUUCAUUCAUGAAAAAUAUUAGUAGAAACUUCGGUUUUCAAAUGAACUAACUUUACAUCAUGAGGGCUUAGGGGUUUCCGUUAGCUCAAAAAAUCAAUUUAUGCAUGAAGACUGGGGUCAUUAAUCCAAAUUUGUCACUAUUGAUCGGGAAGUUGGUUGAUGACUAAGACUGAAACAAAAUUUGCUUAUAGUGCUUUAAUUAGGAUGAUUAGUAGGAACUGUAAUUUUAUCUUUUUAUUCCCCACCAUAUUAUCGUAAACGAGAGUUAAAAAAACAUCGGCCGUACUUGAAGUUUUGAGCCUCUCUCUUCAUUUGACACAUGACAAGAAUGCUAUAAAUAAAUUCAAUAGAAGACAAUAAUAAGAAAUCGAAAUAAAAAUCGACAUCCUAAUCAAAUUUAUUAAAAAUGGUGUACUUUAUUAAUAAACUCAAGUUAAAAACAAUAUUUAUUGACACAAAUGACAUCAACUAUAUAGUAUUGUAAUGACAAAAAUAAAAAUCAAUUCACAAGUAAGAAUACAAAUACUGAAACAUUCAAUUUCCCCAAUAAUCUUAUUUUCCGCCCUUGUUUCACCAUGAGUAGAGAUAGGGCCAAACAUCACUCAUUUUAGCCAAUUUUUUGUCUCAUCCCCAUUGAAGAAUAAUUUUGGGUCCGCCCCUGAGUAGAGGAGUGGAAUACUUUGUUCAUUCCAGAAGAAAUUAGAAGGAUCAACCUUGGUUUUCACCCGAACCAACCUAUUAAAAUUAUUCUUGAAAUAUUUGAUGCCCCAAAUUCUGGCUUUUGCAUAGCUUGUAUUACCUUUGUCAUUAACUCCUAUAUCAAGAUCUCUGUAGUUGAGAUAUGCAGCCCUUGGAAAUCUUGAAACAUAAGGAGUCAUGUAACUAUAAAGCUUUCUAAUCCAAUUUAUAUAGUUUUCUGAUGCUUCUACCUCUUCUUCGUCCCAGGACACCAAGUGCUGAAUUUUGUACAAAUUACCAGCUCUGUGAGGGAAGGGAAUCGCAGAUUCUGAAAUUUCAUGCAUUCUUCCACCAUAUGGAGUUAAGAACAUCUCAGCUUCCUCGGCUUCGUCCUCAAAAAACAAUUUCCAUAUUCCUUCAAGCCCAUUCUUAGAUAUAGGUUUUUGAACGUAGUCCGAUUUUGCUUUGAAGUAUCGUACAUUUGGCUGAGUCCUGUUCAGCAAGACAUCGCGUGAUUCUAUGGGAAACCCAGCCCAAUAUAGGACUGAUUCUAUCCAACUCAUUUCAGUACAAUCUUCUCUCAGCAAACCUAGUUCCGGGAAGCUUCGUUGCAUCAAAGGAAGCAAUGUAUCAACACCACCAAGGAACAAUGAGUUAAAUGUAGCCUGUAUUGUUCUCUCGCCAUCUUGGCUUGAAUUUACCCUUCGUAUAAGGAUCAUAAUGAGCAAAUCUUUGUCUAAUUUGUGCGCGACAUAUUGCCAUCGGUGUACUAUAUUUGUUGCAUUUUGAUCCAAGGUUUUGUUAACUGAAAACACAGUGACUCUUUCUGGAACAUCCACCAGUUGUAUCUUCCAAGCAAGAAUGACUCCAAAACUUGCACCUCCACCUCCUCUUAUGGCCCAGAAGAGAUCUUCGCCCAUGGAAUUUCUGUCGAGAAUUCUUCCAUUGACAUCAACCAUGCGCGCAUCAAUUAUAUUAUCUGCUGCAAGCCCAUAUUUUCUUAAUAUUGGUCCGUAACCUCCUCCACUGAAGUGUCCGCCAACUCCAACAGUAGGGCAAACACCAGCAGGAAACCCUAGGGUUUGACUGUUCUCUGCAAUUCUAUAGUACAAUUCGCCGAUUGUUGAGCCAGCUUGAACCCAUGCAGUUUUUUCCUCAACAUCAACGCUUAUUUGCUGUAGGUUGAUAAGAUCAAGGAUGACAAAAGGGACUUCUGAUGUAUAAGAAAGUCCUUCAUAGUCAUGACCACCACUUCGAACACGUAUUUGCAAGCCAUUUUCUCUGGCGCAAUAUAGAACAGACUGAAUCUGGGAUUCAUGCGUAGGGGUAACAAUGACUAAUGGCUUAGGCGUUGUGUCUGACGUGAACCGAAGGUUUUUUAUGGAGAAGUUUAGGACGGCUAAAUAUGAAGAGUUGUUAGGGGUAUAAAUAAUAUUGGAAAUGGAAGAGUAAUUGUCUGAUCGAAGGGACAUACAUUGAAGAAAAUCAUCAUGUCCAUCAGAAGAAACUGCUCAUGAACACGAAAAAAUAACUACAGAGGCAAAUAAAAAGGAAAAAAAUACUUGGAGUCUUCAUGAAAGUUUAACGUUAAGCUGAAUAACUUGUGUAUUGCAGAGCAUAGAACAGGUUCAAUUUAUAGUAUCCUGAAGGAGCAUGCUUAUUUUGAAAUUACAAUGAAUAUUAAUACGAACAUCAGGUUUGAAAUUCCCGCUAUAAUUUGAUUAUAUGUUAGUGAAUGGUUUGAUUAAAUUUGCUUUCAUGAACAAGUUUCUCAACAUUAUUUUGUUGAAUUACGUUAUCUUUCCAAUUUUUAUUUUCUAACUAAGGGAAGAAAAUUAUGUUUGCCUGGUGUAACAGAGUUGUAUUUUAAACAAGAAAUGUAUCCCAUUGGUUAUGUUGAAUAAUUAACUUAUUUUUAGAUUUUUCUUCAACGAAGAAGUCACAAAUUUCCAGAUUAUCUGAUAUUUCAAUGUCAUAUAUUUUGACAUUUCUUAAAUUUAUUUGAAUUUAUUGCCUGCGUUUAUAGACUCUGAUGAAUGUCUAAUUGAAUAUCUAUGCUUCUGGAAUGAACUGGAUAAACAUGAAUAGACUUAAAUCUACAAUCUUUAAGAGUUAAAAACUUGAUUUGCAUGCAAAGAUUUUUAUGAGUUGACUGAACAUAUUAAUUCUAAUUUUUUUCCGACACAAAAUUUUUUAGUCUGUAUUAAAAAUCUCUGAAUUGCAAAUCUGAACCGCUCACGUUACUGUGGGUGAUUUUGUUGACUUGCUUGUUGCCCACACAAACACCUGGAAUUAUUCCUCUGUGCUGAAUUGAUUCUCACCUUCGAGCUAGACCGGAUUUAUACAGUUUACUUAUUGCCCACGAAUUUUUAAUUAUAAUUGUUUUUGGUAUAGAGAGAGGUAAUUUAAAUGGAAAGUAUACUAGUUAGGAAAACUGGUUAGUGUGAAUUAUGGUAAACAUAUUUAUUUCUUCUAACUAGAGUGCUCACAUUUAAUUAAAAAAUUUUGAAAAUGAAAAGAAUAAUUUUUUUUUAAUUAUAUUACAAAAUUAGAAUAAUUCCAUAGAUACAGAAAAUUAUUGAAGAAACGAUACAGGUGCUGCGUUGGUUACAUCUCGAUCAUUCAUUUCCUAUGUUUGUUGUGCCAAAAACCAACGAGAAAUCGUCAAAUGUCUUUCUAUAAAAAUUCUGUCACUGUGGUUAGGGUCAUCUUUUGAGAGCGCUCUUGAAUAGUCAAAGCUGACUGAUCAUAUUAAUUCUAAAGAAAAGUCACUGUGUUUAGGGUCAAUUCUGAGCGUAGACCCUUGAAUUCUUGAAAAGCCUCUAAGAGAUUGAAGGAAGGACAGCUAAGACUAGAUUGAGUACGCAUGAUCAUCUUUAUCUAACAAUGGAAGUAAAAGGGCGGAAACAAACUUUUACAGAAUGGUGAAGCUUGUUUCAAUCAUACUAUAUAUGGACAAAUUUACACACACCUAUACAAGUCAGUAAAAGGAAAUGCAAUCAUACAUAUUAAAUGAAAUAAAUUAAUUGAUAUGUGCAAGCAAUGAAUCAAGAUCAUUGUGUAGGUUUUGGGGGCGUUGAUGGGUGAAUCAAGGUGAUUGUGUAGGAUUUGGGGAUGUUGAUGAGAUGGAUUUAUCUUCUUUCCUUAUAUGCCCCGCAAGAUCAUGCUUCCAUCAGAAGCAUCAAUCUUGGAUCGAAGAAGAGUGAAUCGCAACUUGGUUAAAGGCUUAGCAAGAACAUCAGCAAGUUGAUUGUGACUGGAUGCAUGAUUGACAAUAAAAAAACCCAUUGGAAAUUAACCUUAUCACACACAAAAUGGUAAUCAAGGGCAAUGUGCUUCAUCCUGGAGUGAGAGACUGGAUUUGAGCAUAAAUAUGAGGCACCGAGUUUGUCACAUAGUAGGUUUGAGGUCUGUGUUGGAGAAGCACUAAGUUAACCCUGAAGAUUAGUGAUCCAAGCAAAUUCUGUAGCAGUGGAUUGACGUACCGAUAUUUUGCUUCAGUGGAAGAUGUGGCGAUUGUCCGUGUAGAAAGGCAUUGUUUACAUCCAGCUGACUAAUUUUUAGGUAGAGCUAGUUUAAGAAGAAUGGUAGUAGGCCUGAUAACAUAAAUAAUUUUCACAAGGUAGUCUACACUAGGACGUUGAUUGAAACCCUUAGCAAGAAAUCGAGCUUUGUAGUGAUCAAUGCUACCAUUGGGUCAUCACUUAACUUGAAAAUCCCACUUGCAACCAAUGAUAGUCUGAUUGGUUUGGUGAGGAACAAGUUCCCAGGUUCUCUUUCGAAUUAUAGCACUAAGACUUUACACAUGGCUUCUUUCAAUUUGGGAUUGGUGAGGGAUUGUGAAACAGAGGUAGGUUCGAGAGUUUGAGAAAGGGGAUGUUUAUGUAUGACAGAGGAGAAUUUGGUUAGUUAUUUGAAAAUAUUGUUCUUGGAAUGCGUGGUCAUGGAAUGAGGGUUUGGUGGGUCUUCUACAUUAUGAGGUUUAGGUAAGAGCUAAGACAAAGUGCAGUCUAACUUUGAGGCAUUAGUACUCGUAGAUGGAGCAAGAGAUGCAUUGUUUGAAGAAGAUGCCAAGAUGAGAUCCAGUAGAAUGUCAUCACUGUGCAUGGUGUCCAAAAUAGGCAGUUGGAUAGAGAAGUUGCCGAUUGUUGAUGAGAUGGGAGUUGAUUCGUUGAAGAGUUGGGUCUUGUAGUAGAAUUUAAGUUUGGAGGUGAUCUGUGAUGGUCGUUUGUAUUCUGUGGAAGAGAAUAAAUAGGACUUUAUUGUGUGAUAAGUGAGGACGAACUUAGUGACUUUGUUUUGAGGAGUGUUUUCAAAUUGAAGUGAAUUAAGGAAAGGAAAGUUUGAUGCCCUUAUUGAAAGAUUAAAAUUAUUUAUUUUGUCAUGCUCAUUUAAAGGCGACAAAGAGGGAAAAUGAUUUUCAAUAAAAUGAACAUGUCAGGAAAAUAGAUUUUGUGGUUUACAGGUUCAUAACAGAAAUAAGAAUUGUGAACAUUUAAAUAACCCAGGAAAAUUGUGAUUCGUAUAAUGUCUAAGGCAUCCAAAAUCUUCCAAUUUGAAAUAAUUUUGUAAGUUAAUACACAAACAUUCAUAUGGUGAUUUAUUAUCAAGUAAAGAUGUAGGGAGUCGAUUGAUAAGAUAAACUAUAGCAUUAAAUGCAUAAGACAAAGAAAGAGAGGCAUUACAACAAAACUGUGAUUUCGUGACAUAUCUUUUUGCGACAUAUGAAAAGUUGUUGCAAUAAGUGGUUAAGCACGACACAUUUUUAAAAUUUGUUGCAAAAAUUGUGGUUAAAAAAUAAGUAUAAAAGAAUAUAAGGUGACAUAAAAAGUUGUUAUGAAAUGUAAGAAGGUCGCGACAAAUAAUAAAGAAUGUCGCCAAACACAUGAGAGAAGUCACCAAAAUAUUUUUUGGUGGAAAACUUAUGACGACAAACGUUUAUUUCUUGCAACAAAGUAUUCAUGUAGCAAUAGAGUUUACUUUUUGCGACGAAGAAUAUUUGUUACCAAUAAAAGAUUUCAGUCACCACAAUUACGUUUCUAGGUGAAGAUAUUUUAAAAUAAAUAAAUAGUAAAUUAAAAUAUUUCCACUGUACAAUUAAUUACUUAAAUUAUUUUAUAGUAAUAGUUUCAAAUGAAAAUAUUUAACUAAUUAAUUCAAUGGUGUCGUCCUGCCCCGAAUGUGACAAAAAAACCUGCCCCGUGAAGAAAAAGUAAAAAAAAAAAAAAUCAAAAAUAAUUUUAUUUCUAAACAAUUCAUCCUUUAAAAACUUAUUUUAAAUUUGUAUUUUAUUUUCUAAUAAUAACAUAAUUCGAAACUUUCAAAAUGUGAAAAAUAAUAAUAAUAAUAAUAAUAAUAAUAAUAAUAAUAAUAAUAAUAAUAAUAAUAAUAAAAUUAAACGGGGCAAAAAGUUGUCCCGUACCUGCCCCGCCCCGUCUAAGGCGGGGCGGAGUGGGAUGAGGGUGCCCCGCCCCGAGCCCGUCCCGUUGCCAUCACUAUAACCAAUGUUAUAAAAAUCAAACCUGACGAUCGAUUCAACUUCCAGUUAUUGCUCAAAACCCAUUUAAUAUAUAACCGGUACAAAAAAAAAAUAAUAAUAAUAAUAAAAUCAGAAAUUAGCCUAUUGACCGCUGAUUGGAUGACACAGCACCGAUUUCCGAUUUUGUCGGUUGGCUAAUGGGUUUAAAAAUUAUUGUUUUCUACUUUCAGCAAUGAAAGACCACAAUAAAAUAUGUGUUUGAUUACGAGCAUGAAAUUUACAUAGAAAGAAAAUAAAUUUUAGAUAAUUCAAUUAUCUAGAACUUAUUGGAAUAGAAAUUAUUAGUUAAACGUGUUUGAUUGAUUUAGUUUUCAACUUUAGAAAAUAUAAUAUUUGAACAUUUUUUUGUUGGUGGGUAGAUGAUAGAGACAAAAUAAAUUGCAUGAAAAAUGAAAAUCAUCUCUCUCUAAAAAUAUGUUUUCCUUUUUUUUGAGACCAAAAGUUGGAAAACACUUUUCAUAAAACUAAAUAAAUAUAUAUAUAUCAACCAAACACCCCAAAAGUAGGAGAUGAAAAUGGCAAUUUUUUCAUGAAAAAUAAAGUAAAUAAUACACACUCUAAAAGUAUUAAAUAAUUCCCAGGAUCUUUCAUUUAAUUUUAUUAUGUCGACACAAUAAAAUACUAUAAAAGUAUCAAACACCAUAUUACAAAAUAAAAAUUGAGAAUAAUGUAAUGUAGGCCCAUUGGGGUUAUCCCACUGUAGUUACAAUCCCAAUUUAAGUGGUGCUAAAUGAUAGACUGAAUGAAAUAUGGGAUUAAAUUACUUACUUAAUUCUACAUUUCAUUUAAUGUCAUAUUAACGCCACUUAAGUUGGGGAUGUAACUCCAAUUGGGUUAAAUAACAUUACUAAAAAAUUAAAUGUACCUAAGUUUAAUCAUUAAUGGGUGCUUUUGUCUAUGUAUUAAUUAAUUUUUUUAAAAAAAUUAACGUUUUAUCAAUUAUUUUGAUAGACAAUUAAUGUAUUUAUUUAUGACAAUUGGUUAGACCUUUCAAUCCUUAAUCCUUUAGCUUUUACAGGUCAACAUUCCAAUCGAUUUUCAAAAAAUUGCCUACAACUUAUAAACUACAAUAAAUAGAUUACUCAUACAAAAUCAUUAAGAAAUUUUACUUAAUUCAACUUAUUGACCAAAAAUUAGCAACUUAGGGUAUGAGGAUAUGAAAAUCCAACACCGUUUGAAUAUAUAUAAUGUAUGAUUAUAAAUCCAUGUACUUCAUGGCUGGCUAUGGUUUCUUCUUCAAGUAUGUGGCCACCCUCUGUUUCUUCAGGUUGGCUGUUGGAUUGGUGGUGAUUACCCUCUCUUCAUCACAAUCAAGUCUGAAUGCGCUAAUAAAAAGAUCCGCGGACCGUUCAUAGUUGUGGUUUUCGAGAUGCAAGGAUUUGAGAUUCUAACUAAUGGUCUCCGUAUCAUUUGAUCAUGCAUAUAAGGCUCCAAUGUACAAGGAGAAUGUGGCACUCUCGACCGUACCACUACUGACUAUAUUUGGUGCAUUAUUUUGAUGUUCGAAGCCAUCCUAGCUUUGCUCACUUUCUACUGGCAUGUGAAGAUGCUUGACGCAGCCCUUUACACGUCCUUGUAGCCAAAAAUGCAAAAUAAGCAGUGCAAGACAAGGCUAAGGUGUUAAACAUUGAACUCGAAGCUGAAGAGGAGAAAUUAGAAAAAAUAGCCAAGAAGCUAGCGAAUUCAUUCGGCUUAUUUUCUAAGGAAUUCUGAGCUGUUAUAAUCCUGUCCCUUAGAAUCAAACUUGUCAACUAACCUGAUGCUAGAGCUUGUAGUAUUAGCAUUUCUAUCCUCAGAUUUUCAAAGUCUUUGAUUAACUUAUUUUGCUGUGUAUAUAGUGCUGAUAAGUGACCCAGGUUCUUCCUACUCAAAGCAUCUGCUACUACAUUAACUUUACCUAGAUGGUAAUGGAUUGUACAAUCAUAAUCUUUUACUAACUCUAACCAUUGUUGUUGUGUCAUACUUAAUUCCUUCUGGGUAAAGAAGUACUUGAGGCUCUUAUGGUCACUGUAAAUUUCACACUUGCUUCCAUACAAGUAAUGAUGCCAAAUCUUCAGAGCGUGAACUACCAUUGCAACUUCUAAAUCGUGUGUCGAAUAAUUUUUCUCAUACUACUUUAAUUGUCUUGAUGCAUAGGCUAUCACCCUUCUAAAUUGCAUCAAAACAAAACCUAAACCUAGCUUGGACACAUCACUACAGAUAACAAAUCCCUCUGAUUCAUCUGGAAUUGCUAACAUUGGAGUGGUUACUAAUCUAUUUUUCAAUUCUUGGAAGCUCUGCUUCACACAUCAGUCCAUACAAAUUUUACACCAUUUCAAGUUAGUUGUAUCAAGGGACCAGCUAUCUUGCAGAAGCCUUCUAUAAAUCGUUGAUACUAUCCAGCUAAAUAUAGAAAGCUCAUUAUGUCUCCAAUAUUCGCAGGUCUUUGCCAGUUAGUAACAGCUUCAACCUUAUUUGGGUCUACUUCUAUACCAUUGGCUGUCAUAAUGUGUCCCAAAAAUCCUAUUCGAUCUAGUCAAAAUUCAUACUUCUUGAAUUUGGCAUACAAUUUUUCCUUAUGUAAAGUUCCUAGAAUGUUCCUCAAAUGGUUUUCAUGCUGUUGAUAAUCUCUUGAAUACACUAGUAUGUCAUUAAUAAAGGCAAUAGCGAAUUUUUCCAGGUACUAAUGGAAUACUCUAUUCAUCAAAUACAUAAAUAUCGUAGGGGCAUUCGUAAGUCCAAAUAGCAUAACUGUAAACUCAUAAUGUCCAUAGCAAGUUCAAAAUACUAUUUUAGGUAUGUCACUCCGCUUGAUAUUUAGUUGAUGAUAGCCUGACCUCAAAUCAAUCUUUGAAAUUACGGUUGCACCAUACAAUUGAUUAAAUAAGUUUUCAAUUCUUGGGAGAGGAUAUUUAUUUUUAACAAUUAGCUUGUUCAUCUCUCGAUCAUCAAUAUACAUUCUCAUAAUUUCAUCUUUCUUUCUCACAAAAAGUACUGGAGCUUUCCAUGGAGAUGCGCUGUCUAAUAAAACCUUUAUUUAGAAGUUCCUCAAAAUGUAUUUUUAACUCUUGUAAUUCUAUUGGUGCCAUACAGUGUGGAGUCUUAGACACUGGUGAAACUUCGGGUAUCCAAUCUAUUGUAAACUUCACUUGUCUAUCAAUUGGGGCACCCGAUAGGUCAUUAGGAAAUACGUCAGCAUAUUCUUGCACAACAGGCAUUUUAUCCAAUGUUAACUCUUCUGAUGGUGUGCCAGUAAGACUAACAAGAUAUCCUCGAUCAAUUUUCUUCCUCAAUAGCUUUUUCGCUUGCAUAGCUAAGAUCAAACAAGGAGGUACCUUAACUUCUACUCAUAAUAUCUAAACUCUUCAUCUCUAGGUCUUUUAAUGUUUACCUCCUUCUCAAAACAUACAAUUGUAGCUCUAUUGCUACCUAACCAAUCCAUAUCCAAGAUAAUAUCAAAAUCUUUUAGUUCUAUGACAUGUAAAUCUGCCUCAAGGAUUAUCCCAUCACAUUCUAUUUGUACUACCUUAGCAAUCUUAUUUGUAUCAACAACUGCUUCUAGUGGCAUAUUAACCUCUAGUGUACUAUUAGUUUUCUCGCAUGAAACAUUGAUAUUGGGUAGGCAUGUUGCAAAUAUAAAUGAAUGCAUCGCGUCAAAAUCAAUAAGAAUGUAAACAAAAAUAUCGUAAAAAGAUAAAAUACCUGUAAUGACAUCUUGAUCCUAGAUAGCCUCAUCAUGCGUCAUGGAAAAGAUUCUUGGAUUCCCUUUCUUCAUCUAUUCAAUAGCCUUAACCGGCGCUGCUCGACAUCCUGAAGCAUAAUGUCCUGUCUGCCCACACUUGUAAUAGACAUUCUUGCCACAUAAAUGUUCACCCCUAUGGGAUUUCUUACACUUAGGGCAUGGAGGAAAAUGAUUGUCUAAUUGUCGGUUGGUAGGCCUAUUAUUCUAAUUCUUGAAUUGUCCGGAGCUCUUAUCCUCAACCUAAUCGUGCCACUUUCUUUUUCUAGUAUCAUUUUGUAGUCCCUAGUUUCGAAGUUUAAAACUCGAGAACAAUACAGCUUCACCUUCUUUACAACUUCUUGAUAAGUGGUAAGUUUAUGCGAACUCACUAUCUACCUAAUCUCAUGGCACAAUCCAUUCUCAAAGCAUUUUGGUUUCAUGAGCUCUGUACUCGCAAGAUGUGGGGCACAACGGGAUAAUUCCUCAAACUUCCUCUCACAUUCCGUGAUGUCCUUAUCUUCAUGUCUUAGUUGUAAAAAUGGUCUCCUUGUGGUCAGGAAGGGCUUGCGAAAAAUAUUUCUCAGUCAACUGCAUCUUGAGUUGGGUCUCAUAUUACGUUGUUCUUCCUCUGUCCGUCUCCGUGAUGCGAAUUCUCAUUAAUGGCCGGCUAUUCAGACCAGCAUGAAUUUUGCUGAUAUGAUCCAGGAGUCGAGCCUAACGAAGGCAAGUGCGAGAUGAGACACGUUGAUAGUCGAUGGCGAACCAAUGACGCGAUCAAGGGCAAAGCAAGUGAAACAAGCGAUGGGAUUGGUCGUUCAAGAAACCAUUGAUGGAACCAUGUUCGGGACUCAAAUGGAGCAACUUUCAUUUUCGGGUCGAAGGCCGAAUCAACUUGGAUCAAUUUGUUAUCAAGCGACGAAAUCGGAGGCUGAAAACAAACACAGCAUGCAGCUGCACAGUGGCAUACUGAAAACUAAUAUUGCAUUUCUUGUUGAACCAUGCACUGCAUGGAAUUACACCAUGCGGCCACACAAGCCCAAAAAAAAUGGCGAAUUUUCUAAUUUUGGCCAAAGUUCCUAGUUUCGAUAGAAUUCUUAUGAAAUCAAAUUAUUACCAUAAUUUGAUGAAUUUUGGACAUUUUUACUCCUUAGUAUAAAUAGGAGAAUACUUUUCAUUGUAACAACUUUUGACUUUUGCUUAAUAUUAUAGAGAGAGAAUUGUUCUUUCAAUUUCUUGUUCUUCUUGAACAAUCUUGGAACUUAUCAAGAUUCAACUUCUUAUGGCGUUCUAAUCAAUCAGAUUGUGGGUUCUUUUAAUUGUAAUCAAGGGGCUUUAGGUUCUUCGCUAAUCUAGAGUUUCUUGGUUCAAUUCUUGGGGUUCAAGAUCCAAAACCAGGUUAGUAUUGGCGUUAUUGGGUUCUGCAUCAAUCUCGUUGUAGGUUUCGUAGUUUCCAUUGCUACGGGGUUUGCAUCAGUUGGUAUCAGAGCUUUGGCUCCAAUUUAAUCAGGUUAUAUCCUUUGUUUUCUAAAUUUUUUUCAAUUCCUUGUGUUCUUGUGUCUAGAAGAUUUUCUUGAUCUUUUGAUCCAAAAGUUUCAUCAAAAAUCUUCAAAUUCCGUUUCUGGGCUCAAUUUUCGCCCGAAUCAAUUUUUGUUUUCUUUGUUGGUUUUGUUAUAGAUUUUCGGAUCUAAAAAAAAUUACUUUUCAUCUGUACGGUACUGUUCAUCCGUACAGUAAAAAAACUUGUUAAAUAUUAUUGAUCCGUCAAAUACCAACUUUUAUUAUUCAUUGUCGUUUCUAAAUUACUUGGACACAUUAAAUCAUUCCAUUCCUUCAAUUCAAAUCAAGCUUUAAAAUUUUUCUUUGAGUCCUUUGUUACAAUUAUUGAGUCACAUUCGGUUUGGGGAAUUCUACACGAUUUGAUUGAUUGAUUGAGUUCAUUGAUUAUUCCUAGAAGCAAUUGUUGAAAGAACUGAGUGGUAAAAGGCAGAGAGGUGAGCUUAAUAAAGGGUAAAAGCCCUUGUGUGUUUUCGAGUGACUUUUGGUAAGGCAGUAAAAUAAAAUCUUUAGUGUUAGGAUGUCAGAAAGGGCAGAAUCAAACUCAAGCCGAUAAGGCAAUAAUAGCAAUGCAUUGGAGGAUUUAGUGCAAAGGUUUGAGAGGGCGUUUGGAGAUGUGAGAGAUAGGUUGGAGAAGCAGGAGGCUUGGAUGAAUAGAUUAGAUACAUCAGUGGCUAAUCUUAGUCGGGGGCAUCGAGUGGAUGUAUCCAAUGCUAGAGGACCGAAUAGAUGGGAGCCUAGGAGGGAAAGGUGAGAGGAGUAUGGAUAUGGGAAUGACAUGGGCGAAGAUGAAUUUCAUGGUGUUGAGAUGAGAAGGAUGAGGAAUAAAGGCGAUAGGUUCGACAGACGGGGUCGGAAUGAUCGCGGGGAGGAGUUGGUUGGAAACUUGGGAAAUAUAAAAAUGACAGUUCCUUUAUUCAAAGGAAGGAGUGAUCCUGAGGCAUACCUGGAGUGGGAAAGGAAGGUUGAAAUGAUCUUCAAGUGUUAUAACUACUCGGAGGAGAAAAAGGUGAAGUUAGCAGUUUUGGAGUUUAGUGACUAUGUAAUUUCAUGGUGGGAUCAAGCGAUUACUUCACAACGUAGGAGUGGGGGAAGACCAAUCAGCACUUGGGAGGAAUUGAAGUCAUUGAUGAGAAAGAGGUUUGUUCCUAUUACCGAGAGAUCCAUCAAAAAUUGCAAGGUCUAUAUCAAGGGUCGAAAAGUGUAGAGGACUGUGCAAUUAUAUGCAAUUAUGUGUUCGAAUUUCAUGAUUUUUACGGAAAUAUCUUUUAUUAUGAUACAUGUGGGAUUUCAAAGAUUGUAUAUGUUACAUUGUGAAUUGGAAUAUGAGAUAUGAUUUUGAGAUCGACCAGAAAAGUACCCGUGAUUAUAUAUUUCUUCUAGUUCACUGAGGGGCCUUGGUCGUGUUCUAUACUACACUGAGGGGUCAUGGACCGGGAAUGAAGGGGUCUCGACCGUGUACAUAUAGUUCACUGAGGGGCCUUGACCGUGUUCUAGAAUUGAUUAUGAGAGGUCUUUGAGACCGACUUUCGUUCACGGAGGGGCCAAAGGCCCGUGGCGAAAGUUCUUAGCCCGAGGGGCGGAUUACAUAUUUCAGUCAGAGGGUACAUUUUUGGUGGAUUUUUCAGCACGUUUGAUGUGAUGAGAUUGUAGCAUGGUUAUCAACUGGUGUUUAUAUCAUGAUUUUGAGAUGAUAUUUUACGACCUUAUGUGAAUAUUUCACUUUUGGUUAUAAUUACAAGAUGUUAUCUUAUGAAUUAUGAAAUGAUAUGAACUUCAUUUUCGGUAGAAAUGUAAAAUUGAAAAAGUAUAAUUAUUUUUGAACUGCUCUACUCACUGAGUUAUCAACUCAUAUAUUUUCCCACGAUUUUUCCUACAGGUGGAAAUUGGUCAUUUUUAGCUGGAAGAGCCUAAUGAUUUCUGAAUGAGAGCCACACGACAUGUUAAAUAUUAUAACUCAUAUUGAUGAAGCACGGAGCAAAUAUUUUGGGCCCAUCGCAUUAUAUUUUACAUAAGCAUUUGGUUUUAUUGCAUUUUUUUGAAAUAACUCCUAGUUAGUCUUGGUGAUAGAUUUGACAUCUAGUCAGCUUCUAUCAUCGACGCACGUCACAUUUCGGCUGAGAGUGGAGAAAAGAAAGAGAAGCCACAUGAGUGGAGAGAAAAGGAGUCAGUUGAGAGGAAAGAAGAAGAGUCAACUGAGUGGAGAGAAAAGCCAAAGGGCAACUUCUAUGCAAAAGAGAGUG